UUUGCGUAUGAUUGCAAUGCACCAUGCAUGAAGCGGAUUCUGUAUAUUUGCCCAGAGGAGUCACGCGCGAUAGUAUUUCUUCUGAUGUCUUGCUGGGAACCAUUGGGUGCUUCCCCGUGUACCGUGCAUUGGGGGCACGUUAAAAAAAAAAUACAGGUGACCAAAAUCAUCCGGAGUCCCCCACUAUAGCGGGCCUCAUAAUCAUAUCGUGGUUUUCACUCGUAAACCCCCACAAUUUACUUUUUGGUUGUUUAGCGUUGGAGGAUCCAGAUGCGACCAACAUCGCCGUAUCACACAGCCUAGCAAGUGGAGGAAACAGUUUUAAGUAGCACAUACUGCGGUUUCGCGUCAGCAGACUGACUGCUUGUCUUGAGUCACAUCUGUGCAGCUUCUGAUCUGAAUGGGCAUCGGGAGGCUAGAACGUAGGAGCGCAUGCUUUCCUCGCAACACGCAUAACCGGGAAUCGAGCUUGACUCGAUGCAUUGGGCUGAAGCGAACGUUGAUGCAGGCGCGCGUCAGUUGUCGCUCAAUAUGUCGGGUCGUUUUCGUAGCCUCCCUGUACCGGAAGGUGCCAGCAUGUUUAGUUGCGCACUGAAACUGCCGUAGCGCCUACUGGGAAGCGCUGGUUCCACAUAGUACAGCUUUCAGAGACGCUGGCGCAGUUGUGAAACAAAGAAAAAAAAAGGAAAAGAAAAAAAAAGCAUCUGACUGUUGCAACGGCGUCAAGCUGUGUUGUAGCUUCGAUCACAACGCCAUGAUGAAAUGGGUUUGCAACACGACCGGCACUGACAUUCGUCGCGACCGGAAGACGCCGAAGGUCGGCAUACGUGCGUCGCAGCGCGUUGUCGAGACCGCGCAGUUUCGCGCGUGCAUCUCCACUGUUCCUACCCUUUCCUAGCCUACGACAAGGACAAAAAGGUGGAAAAGGGCGCGUUUUUUCACUCCUCCCCGCGGCUCUGGUACUGAAACCCCGGCGAUGGCUGUAAGAGUUCAGGAGGAGUGACGCGGCUCGAGCAGUUUUGCAUCAGAUUUUUACUGCGCAGCUGAAGGUGUGUGCAGCGCAGGCAUGAUCCUCAAAGACAAAAAUGUCAAUCAUAAGCGGCUGAAAACGGUCCUUGGCAUCCUAAUUUUUCUUGGAAAAACAACCGACAGGAUCACUUCCUCCGACAAUUACACUGUAAUGCCACGCGCGAAAACUAAGCCACCGCGGCACAACACAGUGACGGCCCAACACCCCGCAACCCGCGGGGAGGGGGGAAGGAUUGCGGUGGAGGCGAUGGAGAAGACGGAGGAGGCGAAGACGAGGAAGAAGCUACAAACGACGACAGGGACAGACUGGGCACGUGCCACGACAUACUGACACACUACACGAAACAAAGAGAAGCAUACCCAGAACCCCACAAACAACUCGACAGGUCUCAAGACAGAUUGGAGAAGGUUGCAAACCAGGACGUUCCGAAACCCAGUACACUUAAACAGAAUAAAUUCAACACAAUACCCAGACGCGAGCUGCAAGCUCUGCAAGAACGAACACGCAGGCGUGGCACACAUCUUAUGGAAAUGCACAGAGAUCAGAUCAAUAUAUGCAGAGGACAACAUAGAACCGGACCUUCUCGAGGAGCGAUGGCUAAGCGCUCUGACUAGCUCGGAACUACACGACCAAUUAUGGGCUAUCCAGCGGGCCCGGGCAGCGGUGGAAAGGCUAUGCCUCACCGCACAUAAUGCCCGGGUGGCCUGAGCCCGGGCUGCCAACCUAGCAGGUCCUUUUCCCAUUGAAGUUUUCUUUCCGUCCGUUCUCAUUUCUGAAGCACUCGGAUCCGCAGAGCUUGCGGACCCUUUUCACGUAAUGUCAACAACGAACUUGAAGUCUGGUAGCUGGGCUCAUAUUACUGGUCACGGCGAGCGAAAGCUGAACAGAAUAAAUCCUGGAGCGCCGUAGUGACUUGCGCAAGUGGAGAAUCAUCAACGUUUCAAUUAACGGUAUGCGUAGGCCGAGGCUCAACAGUGAAGGCAUCGAAAUACGAAGAGAUGGAAUUGAGGCGCACUAAUAACUACCUCAAAGGGAAGCGAGUUGCCGAACGUUCCCCCUCCCUCCCCCCGCCCCUUUCACAAGGCCCCCCCCCUAUCAUUUUUUUCUGUUCUUCUUUGUUGUUUCUUCGU